UGGGGAAUAUUGCACAAUGGGGGGAAACCCUGAUGCAGCGACGCCGCGUGAACGAAGAAGUAUUUCGGUAUGUAAAGUUCUAUCAGCAGGGAAGAUAAUGACGGUACCUGACUAAGAAGCACCGGCUAAAUACGUGCCAGCAGCCGCGGUAAUACGUAUGGUGCAAGCGUUAUCCGGAUUUACUGGGUGUAAAGGGAGCGUAGACGGUUUUGCAAGUCUGAAGUGAAAGCCCGGGGCUUAACCCCGGGACUGCUUUGGAAACUGUAGGACUAGAGUGCAGGAGAGGUAAGUGGAAUUCCUAGUGUAGCGGUGAAAUGCGUAGAUAUUAGGAGGAACACCAGUGGCGAAGGCGG
rnacentral:rRNA from 1 species